rnacentral:lncRNA from 1 species
GAUAGGAAAAUUUUGGAGGGUAAACGAGGAAAGACAAUAACAUUUGAAAUGUAAAUAAAGAAAAUAUCUAAUAAAAAAUUAACUAAAAAUAUAGGUAAUAAAUAUACCUGAUAAAUAUUGGUAACUAAUGCUAACCUAGCUUUUCUUCAAUAUUCAAGGAGAAUAAUGAUUUGUAAAUAACGUAGAAUUACUAAAAAGGAAAUGUACCAUAUAUAAAGUGCUCAAAAAUGCCUACAAUUAUAGAAAGAUCAAGAAUAUUAGACUAAAAUACAUAACAAAAGGCAGAACACAGAGUUAUUGAGAGAAAGUGUAUAAAUGAGCAAAAUGUAAGGAACACACCUUUAUCUUUCUUUGAAUGUGGGACAUCUUUGGAGUCUUCUAAAAAGAACAAAAAUGAAGAGUCAGUAGAAGAAAACAUGUCAGAAAAAAAAAAGAAAAGAAAACAUGUCAGAAUGAAUAUUAUAUAAACAAUGCUGAAUAAGCAAGUACUUAGAGAAAAGGAAGCCUUUUUACUUUUUUGGAUGGAAAUUAAAUUGGUUAAUAACUCACCAGAGAAAAGUUAUGGAGUUUUUCAAAAUCAUGAAGAAUUUGUCUGUCAUGCAAUAUUCAGCGGGUUCACUUAGGAGUACAUGUUAUCAUGUGCUUAAACUUUUCUAAGACAGCAAAUGGUAAGAUUGUUCAGUUAUUUAAGUGUGUGUAAGUACGAAGGCUUGUGUCUAGCUGGCAAGAAUUAAGGUAGCAUGACAUGGUUCACAACUAUAAUCCUAACACUAUAAAUGAGGAAGCAGGGAGAUUCCUGGAGCUGGCUGACAGCUAGUCUUCCCAAAUCAAUGAACACCUGCUCAAAAAAUCACGGUGGAGAGCUAUGCAGGAAAACACUGAUAUAGACAUGGAGGUUCAACAAGCUUGUGCACACACCUGCAAGAACCUACACAUGUGCACACAAAAGCAAACCUAAAGCCAUAACACACACACACACACACACACACACACACACACACACACCACACACGAUUCUCUAAGACAACUAAUUAUAAAGUUCUUAAUAUAAAGGUUUGCAUUUAAUAAAUAUAUCUCAAGGAAACUAGAGGAAAAAAAGACAUUUAAUCUAAAGUGAAAAAUCAGAGACACUAUUUAUGUAACAAUAUUACUAUAAAUAAGUUAUAUUAUUAAAGUCAAUUGGUCUUUUAUACAUUCUGACUUGCAGGCACAUAUGGACUCCUGUGGAAGUAAUUUUAAAUCAGAGAUAACACUAACAAAAUAUACUUGAGCCAUCUUUUAUUUUCACUGCAAACUUUUAGUACUGUUUUAUUUACUAAGAGUUUGCAUACCAUAUUUUAACUGAUAAGUUGAAAAGGGGAAAGAUAGCUCAGUACGAGAAUUUUUUCUGAUACAAAGAAAUGUGAUCUUCAAAUAGAAGUAUUAGUGUGGGUGGUGUGUGUCCAUGUGUGUGUGUGUGUUUGUGAAUGGUGUAUGUGUACACUGUGUAUUUAUAUGUAUGUGUGUGUGAUAUGUAUGUAUGGCUUAUGUAUAUGUGUAUAUCUAUUCUGUGUGUGGUGUGUAUAUGUUGUUAAUAUGUAUAUGUAUUAUGUAUUUAUGUAUGUGUAUGUAUGUAUGCAUAUGUAUGGUUAUAUGUGUAUAUAUAUAUAUGUGUGUGUCCAGGUCCUAUUCUGCCUUUUUUAAUUCUCUGGUUUCUCCCUUUAUGAGAGGGCUUUUACUAUAGUUAACUUUUUUGAAAGCAGUUCCUGAUAAAAUAAGAGAUUUUCACUUCUUGUUCAAGUUAUCCUCAUACAUGAUAAUGUUAAAAUAAUGUUUCUGAAUAUUUGCCAAUAAAUGUAUCUAAUAACUACUUUUAAAUAAUGCCAUCCUAGUAAUUUCCUUAUAUACAAAGAUAUGUAUAGUUUAGCAAUUAUGAAAGUGUCAAAGUAUUUCUAUCACAUAAAUGUUACUUAGAAAUGUCAAUAACUAUACCAAGAGAUCAAAAACAUUAGACUAAAACAAACAAACCACAUAAUACAAAAUAUUUAAUUUUUAAGAGAAAGUGUGUAAUAACCAACAUUUAACAAACUCACCUUUAUCUUUCUUUGAAGUUGGUGCUUCUUUGGAAUCUUCUAGAGAAAAAUAAAAAAUAAAUCACAGUCUAAGUUCUUUUUGUUUUUUUCUAAAAGAAUAUUUUUUACUUUACUUAAAGGUUUUUUUUUGGGGGGGGAAGCAGUUAGAGGUCUCUCUAAUCCUAAAUAAAGUUUCCUCUUUUUUAUAUAAAAAUUUAAUUUUUAUAUUUAAACUAUAGAUUAUACAUGAUUUUGCUAAGGAGACUGCACCAAACAAUAUCUUC